UACGGGGGGGGUAAGCGUUGUUCGGAAUUACUGGGCGUAAAGGGCUCGUAGGCGGCCAACUAAGUCAGACGUGAAAUCCCUCAGCUUAACUGGGGAACUGCGUCUGAUACUGGAUGGCUUGGAUUCGGGAGAGGAAUGCGGAAUUCCAGGUGUAGCGGUGAAAUGCGUAGAUAUCUGGAGGAACACCGGUGGCGAAGGCGGAUCUCUGGGCCUUGCCUGACGCUGAGGCGCGAAAGCUAGGGGAGCGAACAGG
rnacentral:rRNA from 1 species